ACGAACGCUGGCGGCGUGCUUAACACAUGCAAGUCGAACGGAAAGGCCCUGCUUUUGUGGGGUGCUCGAGUGGCGAACGGGUGAGUAACACGUGAGUAACCUGCCCUUGACUUUGGGAUAACUUCAGGAAACUGGGGCUAAUACCGGAUAGGAGCUCCUGCUGCAUGGUGGGGGUUGGAAAGUUUCGGCGGUUGGGGAUGGACUCGCGGCUUAUCAGCUUGUUGGUGGGGUAGUGGCUUACCAAGGCUUUGACGGGUAGCCGGCCUGAGAGGGUGACCGGCCACAUUGGGACUGAGAUACGGCCCAGACUCCUACGGGAGGCAGCAGUGGGGAAUAUUGCACAAUGGGCGGAAGCCUGAUGCAGCAACGCCGCGUGCGGGAUGACGGCUUUCGGGUUGUAAACCGCUUUCGCCUGUGACGAAGCGUGAGUGACGGUAAUGGGUAAAGAAGCACCGGCUAACUACGUG
rnacentral:rRNA from 1 species